rnacentral:rRNA from 1 species
UGGGGAAUUUUGGACAAUGGGGGAAACCCUGAUCCAGCCAUCCCGCGUGUGCGAUGAAGGCCUUCGGGUUGUAAAGCACUUUUGGCAGGAAAGAAACGUCGCGGGUUAAUACCCCGCGAAACUGACGGUACCUGCAGAAUAAGCACCGGCUAACUACGUGCCAGCAGCCGCGGUAAUACGUAGGGUGCAAGCGUUAAUCGGAAUUACUGGGCGUAAAGCGUGCGCAGGCGGUUCGGAAAGAAAGAUGUGAAAUCCCAGAGCUUAACUUUGGAAACAUGCAUUUUUAACUACCGGGCUAGAGUGUGUUCAGAGGGGAGGUGGAAUUCCGCGUGUAGCAGUGAAAUGCGUAGAUAUGCGGAGGAAACACCGAUGGCGAAGGCAGCCUCCUGGGAUAACACUGACGCUCAUGGCACGAAAGCGUGGGGAGCAAACAGGAUUAGA